rnacentral:rRNA from 1 species
GUGAGGAAUAUUGCACAAUGGGCGAAAGCCUGAUGCAGCAACGCCGCGUGAGUGAUGAAGGCCUUUGGGUCGUAAAACUCUGUCCUUGGGGAAGAAAAAAAUGACGGUACCCUUGGAGGAAGCCCCGGCUAACUACGUGCCAGCAGCCGCGGUAAUACGUAGGGGGCGAGCGUUAUCCGGAAUUAUUGGGCGUAAAGAGUGCGUAGGUGGUUUUGUAAGCGUAGGGUGAAAGGCAGUAGCUCAACUAUUGUUAGCCCUGCGAACUGUGAGACUUGAGUGCAGGAGAGGAAAGUGGAAUUCCUAGUGUAGCGGUGAAAUGCGUAGAUAUUAGGAGGAACACCAGUGGCGAAGGCAGCUUUCCGGGGUACAUCUGACGCUGAAGCUCGAAAGUGCGGGAAUCAAACAGGAUUAGAAACCCUGGUAGUCC